rnacentral:rRNA from 1 species
UACGUAGGGUGCGAGCGUUAAUCGGAAUUACUGGGCGUAAAGCGUGCGCAGGCGGCUUUGCAAGACAGAUGUGAAAUCCCCGGGCUCAACCUGGGAACUGCAUUUGUGACUGCAAGGCUAGAGUCCGGCAGAGGGGGAUGGAAUUCCGCGUGUAGCAGUGAAAUGCGUAGAUAUGCGGAGGAACACCAAUGGCGAAGGCAAUCCCCUGGGCCUGUACUGACGCUCAUGCACGAAAGCGUGGGGAGCAAACAGG